rnacentral:rRNA from 1 species
CGUUGCGAACUAGGUGUUGGCGGGAUUGACCCCGUCAGUGCCGCAGCUAACGCAUUAAGUUCGCCGCCUGGGAAGUACGGUCGCAAGAUUAAAACUCAAAGGAAUAGGCGGGGGCCCGCACAAGCAGCGGAGCGUGUGGUUUAAUUCGAGGCUACGCGAAGAACCUUACCUGGGCUUGACAUGCUUCGGAAAGCCUGGUGAAAGCCAGGUCCUCCCGCAAGGGACCGUUGCACAGGUGGUGCGUGGCUGUCGUCAGCUCGUGCCGUGAGGUGUUGGGUUAAGUCCCGCAACGAGCGCAACCCCUGUCCUUAGUUGAAUGCUCUAGGGAGACUGCCGGGCGAAACCCGGAGGAAGGUGGGGAUGAUGUCAAGUCAGCAUGCCCUUUAUGCCCAGGGCUACACACACGCUACAAUGGCCGGUACAACGGGCUCCGACACGGCGACGUGAAGGUAAUCCCUUAAAACCGGUCUCAGUUCGGAUUGCAGGCUGCAACCCGCCUGCAUGAAGUCGGAGUUGCUAGUAACCGCCGGUCAGCACACGGCGGUGAAUACGUUCCCGGGCCUUGCACUCACCGCCCGUC